rnacentral:lncRNA from 1 species
UGAAUCUUUUGAGCCAAAUUACUUCGUGAUUGGACAAUGUUUGUCAAAUAAAAACGAAAUGCUACAGUAGCCAAAAACAAAAAUUUUUGCGAACUAAACAAGGCCAAAAACUAAUUGCACAGUUUGCUUGUAAAUUGCGAGAUAAAUCAUUUGAACCUAGUUAGUACAUGGUUGGACAAUAUUUGUCAAAUAAAAAAAAUAUUACAAUACCCCAAAAAAAAAAUUAAGAACUAAACAAGGCCGAAGUUUUGAUAGGCCGGGUGGAAAACCCACUACUAGAAUCGACGAGUUUCCCUUCGGUUUAUACCCUAGGGAAAUGCUGGGAAACGCUAGGGAAAACCAUUUUCCUAGGGUCGUCCAUAGGGAAAAGCCCCUAGGGAGGAAUUCGACGGGAAAGAGAUCGUUUCCCUAGGGUUUUCGCUAAAACUGUAGGGAAACAUUCUUUCCCUAGGAGUUACAUACCCUAGGGAAACUUCCUCGUAGGGCACAGCCCACCUGACGUGUAAAGGUGUCAGGUUGGUGUUAGUUUCCUAAGGAAUCUUUCCUUAGGAAUAACAAAUCUAGGGAAAUUAUAUCAUAUAAGAUUUCAUAUUUCUAAAUUCAAAUGAAUAUUCAUAUUCAAAUUGAAAUAUACAAAUACUUCAAAUUAAAAUUCACACAUAUACCAUAAUAAGCACUCAUUCCAUCCAAUUCAUAAGCACAAAUCCAUACAUUUAUAAUAUUUUCACAAAUCCACACAUUUAGAGUAGUUGUAAUAUUGUCACAAAUCCAAACUACAAGUCCACAAACUCAAAAGCGGUUGUUCAGCAACAGGUGAACUAGCUAAUCAACUACAACUCAUGUUUUGACGACAAUCAAAAGAAUGGAUUUGGUUCUUCCUCUAGAGGAGGAGAGUAUGUGCCUCCACCACUUGUCGUCACAUUCACACCAUUCACUUCAGCACUUGUCUCCGGAUGGCUACGAAAUACUCCACAAGCAAUCCUACUUAUUGUUUGCUCUGGAGUUUCCGCUCGAACAGAAACUCCAACAGAUGAGCCAAAGGUACCAGCCUA